UACGAAGGGUGCAAACGUUGCUCGGAAUUAUUGGGCGUAAAGCGCACGUAGGCGGCUUUGCAAGUCCCAUGUGAAAGCCCACGGCUUAACCGUGGAAGUGCAUGGGAAACUGCAGAGCUUGAGUACUUAAGAGGAUCGCGGAAUUCCCGGUGUAGAGGUGAAAUUCGUAGAUAUCGGGGGGAACACCAGUGGCGAAGGCGGCUUUCUGGCCUGUUCUUGACGCUGAGGCGCGAAAGCUAGGGGAGCAAACGGG
rnacentral:rRNA from 1 species